rnacentral:rRNA from 1 species
ACUCCUACGGGAGGCAGCAGUGGGGAAUAUUGCACAAUGGGCGCAAGCCUGAUGCAGCCAUGCCGCGUGUGUGAAGAAGGCCUUCGGGUUGUAAGCACUUUUCAGUUGUGAGGAAGGUGGUGUCGUUAAUAGCGGCAUCAUUUUGACGUUUAGCAACAGAAGAAGCACCGGCUAACUCCGUGCCAGCAGCCGCGGUAAUACGGAGGGUGCGAGCGUUAAUCGGAAUUACUGGGCGUAAAGCGCAUGCAGGUGGUUUGUUAAGUCAGAUGUGAAAGCCCGGGGCUCAACCUCGGAACUGCAUUUGAAACUGGCAGACUAGAGUACUGUAGAGGGGGUAGAAUUUCAGGUGUAGCGGUGAAAUGCGUAGAGAUCUGAAGGAAUACCGGUGGCGAAGGCGGCCCCUGGACAGAUACUGACACUCAGAUGCGAAAGCGUGGGGAGCAAACAGGAUUAGAUACCCUGGUAGCACAGAG